GCCUCAGGUGAUCCAUCUGCCUUGGCCUCCCAAAGUGUUGGGAUUACAGGCAUGCACCACUGCACCUGGCAAGUGUCUUAAGCACGUUUGUUGAGAAAGCAGAGGAGUAAAAGGGUGGCGACUCCACAGGCAGAGCAGCCUAGCCAGUAUUUGUUAUUCAUAAAGCCACCUUAUUAGCAGCGUGCUCCAGAAGUGCUCCUUGCUUAGCCAUUUUUAGUGUAAGUUGUAAGGAGCCCCUUCAGAAUAGCUGUCAAUCAGGUGGCUCAAGGGCAGCCCUCGGAUAGUUAAUUGAGGUAGAAAGUCCCAGGGUCACCCCUCCUAGGAGGAGAGGACUGGAGAUGGAGUUGUAGACAUUCUGGAGCCAUAUGAGGUGCGGAGAGCGUGGUUAGGGUUGGGACAUGUGGAGCGGCUGAGGGUCUGGUCGUGAAGAGCAUAGUUAGGGUUAGUUUUGGGUUAGAGUUAGGGUUGGGUUUAGGGCUUAGGGUUUGGACAUUUGGGGUAGCUGGGGUUCUGGUCUGUAUGUCAUUUCCAUUUGGCUGCUCCAGAGUUAUUGUUUCCGGUAAAUUGAUAAAUGUAAGUAAAGUGUUUUUCUGGAUUCUGUGGGUUGUAGCAAAUUGUUGAAACUGAGGGGGUGUGUGGGAUCCCCUGAGUAGAGGGGACGGGUAGAUUUGUGGGUAACCUGGACACCCCAUUUUCAGCUUGCAUUCUGUGGGAACAGUUUUGUAGGACUGAGCCUUUAAUCUCAUGGGUUCUGACACUAACUCUAGGUAGAUAGAAUGGAAUUGAACUGUUGGACACCCCAGUGGUGGUGGUGACUGGUACCACAUUUGAUGUUAAGAGUGGCAUCGUGGAAGAGACACCACACCUUGAAGUUCCAUUUGUGUUCCAUGUCGUAAGAUGAAUAACACUUUACCUUAGCCAAGUAAAUUGAAGCAGGCCCAGAAUCUGAGUGCUGUAGAUUGAGCCUAGAAAAACAGCUGGCCAAAGCAGAGGCUGUGGUGCUGUUCUCUGAGGAUCACAGGCCAUUGCCAGCCAGCCGCAUGUCAUCAUGAACCCCAGAGAGGGAAGGAGGGCUAGUGAACAUCAGAGUAUCUGGAAAUACUAGUGAGAUGAGCAGUUUCAGGAAUGGUGUGAUGUGUACAUCUCUGAUGGCACUGUGUAGCCUCUGCCAGAGUGUGGGGCCAAGUAGCCUGGGCCCUUCUCCAGUGGGCUCCAAGACAGACCCAGGCCUGCCUUUGUAUUAGCGAUGUACUUCGUGUGGGCCAGGACCUGAGGCAACGUGAGAGGCCAAAGAGAAGGAUCAUGCAUUCAUUUGAAAAUCCGGGAUCAUUUGUUAGCAGCUUACUGGGAGGCUGUUGAUGGUGUAAGUUGCAGAUCCACAUUUCCCUCCUGGGCCUUCGCUUUGCUUUUUUUCUGGUUAAUAUGAAAUACACUCUGCAACAAGUGGCGUAUUGAGGCUGGGCCAGGCCUCUUUCAGGAGAUGCCUAGUUAGUGCAUGGAAAGCUGUGCACCUGCCUUUGCUUCCAGAGAACGUGAUGGAUUCACAGGCUACUCCCUUCCCCCAGUGGCAUGGUGUCAUGUAGUGCUGUGUUGGUUUAAGGACAGUCAGCAGCUCACGGUGAUUAUUCUACUUAAUAAAAUUAUAGUGACUGCAAAAUGAGAUCGUUCCAUUGUUCUCGCAUGUAAGUUUCUCAGGCUUUCGUGGUCUGCCUGCACGUUCCUCCUCCGGCACUCCACCCUCCAUAUGCUACCAGAGGAGGCUUUUAGCAGAGUUGCUUUAAAUAAAUAAACCUAUGGCACAAAGUAGAAAAACUGUCCUGGGCGCAGAAAUAGACCUGUGCAUAUAUGCACGCUUGAUUUCUGACAAAGGAAGCAGCCCAGAGCAGGGGUGAGGCAGGAGCUGUCUGCAGUAAGUGGGGCAUUCGUUUCACAUCAAUGGAAAAAUUAAUCCAUGUAGAUUCUCGAUCUAAAUGUGAAUGUCGUAACAGAGCUGUGUGAAAGUCACAGAAUAGAAUAUCUCAGCUCAGGAAGGAUUGCUAAAUUUGACUGAAUUAAAAUCUCUAGAACUUGUACAUCAGAAGACAUGAGAAAAGUAUGUGCUGCUGAGUGAAAGUUACUUGCAAUGUAUUUAAAUGAAGAAAAACGUAUGUCUAGGAUACAGGAUUAUCCUAGAAUUAUUGCACUUGAGCCAUAAUGGGAACAGGAGCAGUGUUCCAGCCUCAGUUUCUAUUUAUAAUGAUGACAUGGAAAAAUACUGCUGGAUGCCCACAAAUAAGAGAAGCACAGAUAAUAGAAAAGAAUAAAGAGAUCUGAAGAACAGUU